rnacentral:rRNA from 1 species
AACUUUUGGGAUGCCUGGGAAACUUCUAGACUCGAGGGUGUUAAGGGUUGAUGGAACUCUUGGUGGAGGGGUGAAAUCCGUUGAUAUCAAGAGGAACACCAAAAGCGAAAGCAUUCAACUAGGGCAACCCUGACGGUGAGGGACGAAAGCGUGGGGAGCAAAAAGGAUUAGAUACCCUUGUAGUCCACGCUGUAAACUUUGAAUACUAGCUAUGUGAAGUGUCGACCCUUCACGUGGCGAAGCUAACGCGUUAAGUAUUCCGCCUGGGAAGUACGGUCGCAAGACUAAAACUCAAAGGAAUAGACGGGGAUCCACACAAGCGGUGGAUCAUGUGGCUUAAUUCGUCAACAAACGAGGAACCUUACCAGGGCUUGACAGGCUAGUGAACGUCUGAUGAAAGUUAGACCUACCCACAAGGACACUAGCCCAGGUGCUGCACGGCUGUCGUCAGCAUGUAUCUUGAGACGCUCCGUUAAAUCGGGUAACAUGCGCAACCCUUAUUCUGUGUUUUACGUGUCACAGAAAACUGCCUGAGACAAUCAGGAGGAAGGCGAGGAUGACGCCAAGUCAGCGUGGCCCUUUGAUGUCCUGGGCCGCACACAUGAUACAAUGGGGCCGACAACGGGAUGCAAUGCCGUAAGGCGGAGCUAAUCCCUUAAACGGUCUCUCAAUUCGGAUUGAGGUCUGCAACUCGACCUCAUGAAGCCGGAAUCGCUAGUAAUCGCCAAUCAGCUAUGUGGCGAUGAAUAUGUUCCUGGAUCUUGUACUCACCGCCCGUCACGUUAAGCGAGCCGGGAAUACCCGAAGUGCCAGGUUUACUUGGUCCUAAGGUAAGCUCGGUAAGAGGAACGAAGUCGUAACAAGGCACGGGUAGCGGAAGCUGUUCGUG